rnacentral:lncRNA from 1 species
AUCCUUGAAUCGGGCGGAAGAGGAGGCUGCCUCAUCCGACGCUGCUCCUCGCUUUAUUCCGGCCCGACGGCUGCCAAAAAAGCUUAAUCAGCAUGCUGCCAACCUCUCUCCUAUCCACCAGCCUCCGAUCCCGCGAUUAGGGGUCGAACCAUCGGUAAAGACGGGAUCCGGAGGUUCCCCUUUUUUUCAAAAACCUAUAAAAGAUGAUCGCCGGUGGUCAUAACGGGCGGGAAACCGCCUGCAGCCAGCCUCCAACCUUGAUGCUGGCGCAGACGGCGAGCCCCAGCUGGUUUCCUUUUUUUUUUUGGUUGGAUCUCCUUCAAAACAGAUAUAAGGAAGAGGAAGGGUCGGUGUCCGGCGCCGCGGCCCGCUGGGAUUACCGUCGGCCUAUUCCAGACAGCCGCCGGUGACGCCAUCCGGUCAUCAGAUGAGAGGAAGAGGCAGAGGGUACGGCGGCAGGAACCACCGUCCCUUUUUCUUUUCUUCUGCCCCUUUUUCUGAUUUUUCUUUUUUUUCUUGAUUUGAUUUUUCUUCAUGGUGGCGCCGUUGGAUGUCGGCGUCAAAUCCAGUGGCUGAUUGGUCUUUUCAUUUUAUUUUAUCCAUUAUUUUGAUUCUAAUCUUUUCGAAGCUCAGAUCCUGAUUCUAAAGAUGAAAAUUUUCACAAACAUCGCCUGGAAUCCAUAUCCGCUAUAUUAACCAAAUC